rnacentral:rRNA from 1 species
UACGUAGGGGGCAAGCGUUGUCCGGAUUUAUUGGGCGUAAAGAGCUCGUAGGUGGCUCGGUAAGUCGGAUGUGAAAUCUCCAGGCUCAACCUGGAGGGGUCAUUCGAUACUGCCGUGACUAGAGGUCGGUAGGGGAGUGUGGAAUUCCUGGUGGAGCGGUGAAAUGCGCAGAUAUCAGGAGGAACACCCGUAGCGAAGGCGGCACUCUGGGCCGAUACUGACACUGAGGAGCGAAAGCGUGGGGAGCGAACAGG